UGCGGCAUAUCGAUUGGAGUCUGCGCGCUGCAUGCCUGGCGGACGUUGCACCCCCUGCAACAGCGCGUCAGUGCCGCAGUGCGCCGCCGACCUUCGAGCUGAUCGUCACGUUUUACCGGACCUCCUCAUCCACCUCCUAAGAUCCUAACUGCCUGAAAGAUGUAGCUUCAAAGCCUCGCUUCGCCUCUACGACAACGUGGCAGGCAGAAUGACUGAAGCUGAUCUUUCACCGCAGCAUGAGAUCUUCGCCUUCAGUUCUUGCUGAAGGCAGUUCCAUCUUCGAAGGUCACUCUACUUCCUGCCGAUUCACCACCUCUCCGGCAACUAUGCUUCGCUAUCUACAUGGUCAAAUCAGCUUUCCCAGAUUACUUACUUUGUACAAAAAUAGGUGAUCUCCGAAAGCUGAAUGGACUUUGUGGUCAAUGCGAAAAUGGCGGCGGUCACUCAAGCUAAAUGUGUAACCCAUCGAAUCACGCUUGAAGAUAGCAGGAGGCUUAUAGCAUCACUUGUCCAUUACAAGUGGUGUUAUAAGCUUUAUGGUCAUUCAAAGCCUGGUUCGAUUCAUUAUUUAUGACAUUUUCGUAUUACUGGAAAAUGUCAUAAGUAAUUCCUUCCUGACUAAUACGAACGUUCUUAGAAACGUUAUAAUUUCCACCGAAUCCCGAAUCUCUACGCCUGGGUAACGACAAAUAUUUGCUGUAAAGCAACCUAUGUGCAAUUAAUUGCUGAAAUAACUUAACAGCCAAAUAACACCAUUAUCUUUCUUGGAUGGAUCGGCUGGAUAAAUUUAAGUAUAGUUAUAUAUCCCAGGCGCGAAUACAGGGGGAGGGCACUUACCCUUCCUCCAGAAUAGACAGUGCUUUAUUCUGGAUUUCUUCUUAAACAAGAAGCUUGUAUUCGUGCCUCAAUUAGCUCGUAAGUUAGUUAUAAGUGUUAUUGGGAAUAUCUCUGGUGUAAAUCUCAUGAAUUAGUUUUAAGACUUACAUGUAACUAACGAACAUGUGGAAAAUGAAAGCACGAUUACAUCACCUAAAUAUAAUAAUA